GCUUAAUUUUCUCUGGCGGUUGCCUCCGUCUAAUAGACCGCGGCAGGCUGGCGGCAAGCCGCUUUGAAAUCUUCUCAAAAUCAACAUUGGCCAUUGGAGUUAAAGUACUGACAGCAUUUUAACUUUCACAUUUGAGCGGUUAUAAAAUCAUAAUAGCCUAUAUAUGUGAAUUAUAUCAAAUAGGAUAGUUGUUUUGCUCCAAAGCAAAGAUAUGUAAGUUAUGUUUAUACGAAUGUGUUUUCAGUUAGUUUCCUUUUUUUACACCCUGAGUUCAAGCAUGUUUCACAUGCAUCUAAAGCCAGUAGGGUUUAUAACAGAUUCUUGAAGUUUUAGGAAAUUACAUUUAAAUUACUUUUAAACUCUGAAGCGAUUAUACAGUAAUAUAUGUGAAAUAUAUCGAAUUAUUUUAUCACUUAGGUGAACAUUUGUACAUGUCUUUGAUUUAUGCACUUGACUGGAAAUUUCCUUUAUGUCUUUCAUUAUUUUCCAACAUCGAUUUAAUUUUUUUUACCUUUUACAUGUACAAGGAUUAUUUUGCGAUUGCGACCUGUACAAAUUAAUUGAGACAAAAAAAGAAAGUGUUAAAGCACAAACAGUGAAGUACCGCCACCGGUCGACAGGGGCAGCACUUAAAAAAGACGGAAGAAUUGUAAACCGGAAGAUAACGUGUCCUCCCAGAGAGCACUCGGCGUCACACAUUUCAGUGUUUGAAGAGAGGAUCAAGAUACAGAUUUAAGACAAAAGUCAUCAAUUACGAUCGUUUAAAUAGCUUGCCCAGAGCACAGCAUCUCGUGCACAGCAUGAAGUUUUCAGCUAUCAAGAUUUCUAGAGGCUCCAGAAUGAAAACCAAGCCCUGCACUGCAAAAAAUGAAAGUCUUGCUUGGUUUUCUUUUGUCUUGUUUUCUAAUAUUAUUAUCUGAAAAUUCUUAAAUUGAGACACUGACUUUGUAAGCAAGUGGCUUAAGAUAUUAAGUUUUGUUUAUUGAAAUAAAUGAUGAAAAUCGGGAGUUUUUUGUUACUUAAAACAAGUAAAAAAAUUGCCUGUGCAGUAAGAAAAAUAAACUAAAUUCCAGUUUUUAACUUAAUCAACUUAAAUUAAGUUUAUUUUUCUUACUGCAUUGGCAGAUAUUUUGACUUGUUUUAAGUAAAAAGAAAAACUCUUGAUUUUUAUCAUUUAUUUCAAUAA